GACGAACGCUGGCGGCGUGCCUAAUACAUGCAAGUAGAACGCUGAAGAGAGGAGCUUGCUCUUCUUGGAUGAGUUGCGAACGGGUGAGUAACGCGUAGGUAACCUGCCUUGUAGCGGGGGAUAACUAUUGGAAACGAUAGCUAAUACCGCAUAACAAUGGAUGACACAUGUCAUUUAUUUGAAAGGGGCAAUUGCUCCACUACAAGAUGGACCUGCGUUGUAUUAGCUAGUAGGUGAGGUAACGGCUCACCUAGGCGACGAUACAUAGCCGACCUGAGAGGGGGAUAGGCCACACUGGGACGGAGACACGGCCCAGACUCCUACGGGAGGCAGCAGGAGGGAAUCUUCGGCAAUGGGGGCAACCCUGACCGAGCAACGCCGCGUGAGUGAAGAAGGUUUUCGGAUCGUAAAGAUCUGUUGUAAGUCAAGAACGAGUGUGAGAGUGGAAAGUUCACACUGUGACGGUAGCUUACCAGAAAGGGACGGCUAACUACGUG
rnacentral:rRNA from 1 species